rfam:Ricinus communis cultivar Hale ctg_1100012362325, whole genome shotgun sequence.
GUAUGCAUGGUGUAGGUACUGCAAUAAAAGAGUUUUGAAGGGAUCCUAUGCUUUAUGAAAAGAUUCAAUAUCCUUUUGAUAAAAAUUAGAAAUUUCAAUUCUUAAUUC